GAUGAACGCUCGCGAUAGGCUUAACACAUGCAAGUCGAGGGGCAGCAUGGUCUUAGCUUGCUAAGGCUGAUGGCGACCGGCGCACGGGUGCGUAACGCGUAUGCAACUUGCCUCACAGAGGGGGAUAACCCGUCGAAAGACGGACUAAUACCGCGUACACUCUAUGUUGGGCAUCCAAUGUAGAGGAAAUGAAAUUCGCUGUGAGAUAGGCAUGCGUCCCAUUAGCUAGUUGGUGAGGUAACGGCUCACCAAGGCGACGAUGGGUAGGGGAACUGAGAGGUUGAACCCCCACACUGGUACUGAGACACGGACCAGACUCCUACGGGAGGCAGCAGUGAGGAAUAUUGGUGAAUGGGCGAGAGCCUGAACCAGCCAAGUCGCGUGAAGGAUGACUGUCUUAUGGAUUGUAAACUUCUUUUAGACGGGAAUAACAAGAGUCACGUGUGGCUCCCUGCAUGUACCGUAUGAAUAAGCAUCGGCUAACUCCGUG
rnacentral:rRNA from 1 species